GGAAGUGGUCCCGCGGCACCCGUUGUAGCUGAAGGAGUGAGCGUGUCGCCGCAGCCUGCGCAACCGGGUCUGGUGUUGCGGCGGUCGCCUUGGCAAUGCUCAGCUUUCCUUUUGGAAAUCUGCCCUCCUCAUUCCUGUUGAAUGUUAGUGAACAACUGAAUGUCUCUUCUCUGUCACUGCUUCCCAUCUACAAUGAAGUAAGUCUGGAUCAAGCAGCAGUCUAGGAACACUCCAGUGGUACCAUGGAUUUGGGGUUUUCCUGUGCCUUUAUGCAAAGCACACAGUUUAUUCUUGAUACACAUUGGCUCGUGGUUUGGGCAUUCACUAGUAUUGAACUUACUUGUGUGGACAGCAGUCUAGUUUGAAUCUAUUUCUUAUAAUAUGUAAAUUUUGGUAUUGUGAUAGGUGGAAGCCACUCAUUCUUCAUCUACCCUUUUUUCAGUAUCUGGCACCAAUUCU
rnacentral:lncRNA from 1 species